CUCUCUCUCUCUCUCUCUCUCUCCAUGGGAGCCCAUUCCCAUGCUCUUCUUCAAUUCCUAUUGGAGCCCAACAAUUGCUGGAGACACAACCCCGAACCCCCUAUUACCCUCUUCGUCUUCUCUCUUCCUCCCUCUCUCUCUCCACCAUCCCAAUCUUCAUCAACAGUGGCAACGACGACCGAAUGAAUGGAGCCACUGCAAAAUGAAGAAUCUAAAAGAAGAAUCUGGUAUAUUUGACCUAUCAUGGUAUAUUUCCAGCAAGAGAGCAAACCAGAAAUUGGAGGUAGAUCCAUCCAUGGAGAAUGAAGAGGCUCUUGGCACAGAUGGAAUGGAUGGUUUUUUGUCCAAUCUAGCAAAUGCAAUUCCUGGAAUUGACGAGGCUAUGAGCUUUGCGGAGAUGCUCAAUUAUCUUUUUCAAAUUGACAUAACUAGACAUUUUCAGAUGGAUGGAGACCUACGUCAAACUGUUCAAUUUCUUGAAGAAAGAAAUGCUAAUGUUGUCAUCCGUGAUAAGCAUGACCUUAAUGUCAUCCGGGUUCGAGAGUGUUUAGUCAUGGACAACUGUACGUGGCCCUAUCUAGAUGCACAUCUUUUGAUCGUACAAGUGUCUUCCUUCCCAACGAUGAGCUAGAUUCUACUACAAAUAUUAUUUAUCUUGAAAUUUUGUUAUAGUGUUACUUAUGGAUCAAAUCACUUUUGUCAAAAGGAUUGGGUUAAAAAAUAUAUGGACCUCAAAAAGAUAAAUACAAUUAGAUUGCUUUGACAGGGAUGUAACAAGAUUGUCGCGCAUACUUCUCAUUGGAGAUAUAUAGAAGUUGAAACAAAUACGUUUUGGAAAGUGAUGAGGCGCUCUUAGGAAUUCUAAGAAAGAACAAGUUUGAAGAUCAUAUUUAUUUUUGUAAAAAGCGUACAUAUGCUAGCUACGAUCUAGAUUUUGUAAAGUUUCAUAUCGAUGUAAAUUUUAGUUUCGUAAAGCCUUUUAUCUAUGUGCAAUUUAUAAAUAAGUUCAGAUGUAUAUUAUAUAAUAUUUAUUUGAAUUA